AGUAACACGUGGAUAACCUACCUAUAAGACUGGGAUAACUUCGGGAAACCGGAGCUAAUACCGGAUAAUAUUUUGAACCGCAUGGUUCAAAAGUGAAAGACGGUCUUGCUGUCACUUAUAGAUGGAUCCGCGCUGCAUUAGCUAGUUGGUAAGGUAACGGCUUACCAAGGCAACGAUGCAUAGCCCACCUGAGAGGGUGAUCGGCCACACUGGAACUGAGACACGGUCCAGACUCCUACGGGAGGCAGCAGUAGGGAAUCUUCCGCAAUGGGCGAAAGCCUGACGGAGCAACGCCGCGUGAGUGAUGAAGGUCUUCGGAUCGUAAAACUCUGUUAUUAGGGAAGAACAUAUGUGUAAGUAACUGUGCACAUCUUGACGGUACCUAAUCAGAAAGCCACGGCUAACUACGUGCCAGCAGCCGCGGUAAUACGUAGGUGGCAAGCGUUAUCCGGAAUUAUUGGGCGUAAAGCGCGCGUAGGCGGUUUUUUAAGUCUGAUGUGAAAGCCCACGGCUCAACCGUGGAGGGUCAUUGGAAACUGGAAAACUUGAGUGCAGAAGAGGAAAGUGGAAUUCCAUGUGUAGCGGUGAAAUGCGCAGAGAUAUGGAGGAACACCAGUGGCGAAAGCGACUUUCUGGUCUGUAACUGACGCUUAUGUGCGAAAGCGUGGGGAUCAAACAGGAUUAGAUACCCUGGUAGUCCACGCCGUAAACGAUGAGUGCUAAGUGUUAAGGGGUUUCCGCCCCUUAGUGCUGCAGCUAACGCAUUAAGCACUCCGCCUGGGGAGUACGACCGCAAGGGUGAAACUCACAGGAAUUGACGGGGACCCGCACAAGCGGUGGAGCAUGUGGUUUAAUUCGAAGCAACGCGAAGAACCUUACCAAAUCUUGACAUCCUUUGACAACUCUAGAGAUAGAGCCUUCCCCUUCGGGGGACAAAGUGACAGGUGGGGCAUGGGUGUCGUCAGCUCGUGUCGUGAGAUGUUGUGGUUAAGUCCCGCAA
rnacentral:rRNA from 1 species